UAGUAGUACGUGGAGGGAACUAAACUCACAUGGCAGAAUUAACACGCAAAUUAGGGAAACUUGUAUUAAUGAAUUUACUCAUUACUCAUCUAUUUUGUUAAAGUAUGGCUGUCUAAAAUAUCUAAAUGGGGAGUUAGUCAAGUUACAUUUUAUAUAAUAGGUAAAAUAUGAGUUGCAUUGGUAUACCUAAAAAAUAGUAUUUAAUAGUAAGUUAAAAAGCACUGAAUACCCUGUAGUUAGUUCAAAUUGUCCGUCACUCUCUUUGGAGAUAAGUCGUAGCAAAGUAACAGUUGUGGAAAUAGCUGUUA
rnacentral:rRNA from 1 species